AAUACUCAUAUAAUACAGAAUGAGAGGAAACACUCUUAUUCCAGGUAUAAUACUCAUAUAAUACAGAAGGAGAGGAGACGCUCUUAUUCCAGGUAUAAUACUCAUAUAAUACAGAAUGAGAGGAAACACUCUUAUUCCAGGUAUAAUACUCAUAUAAUACAGAAGGAGAGGAGACGCUCUUAUUCCAGGUAUAAUACUCAUAUAAUACAGGAGAGACACUCUUAUUCCAGGUAUAAUACAGAAGGAGAGGAGACGCUCUUAUUCCAGGUAUAAUACUCAUAUAAUACAGAAGGAGAGGAGACUCUUUUAUUCCUGGUAUAAUACUCAUAUAAUACAGAAGGAGAGGAGACGCUCUUAUUCCAGGUAUUAUACUCAUAUAAUACAGAAGGAGAGGAGACGCUCUUAUUCCAGGUAUAAUACUCAUAUAAUACAGAAGGAGAGGAGACGCUCUUAUUCCAGGUAUAAUACUCAUAUAAUACAGAAGGAGAGGAGACGCUCUUAUUCCAGGUAUAAUACUCAUAU
rnacentral:lncRNA from 1 species